rnacentral:lncRNA from 1 species
AUGAAACACUCGGGUUCAAAGCUUCAACAUGAAUGCUUCCAACAUGAAACAAAGUCUAAGUAUACGUCAACAAGACUAUACAAAUAAACGAACAGCUUCCCAGUAUAUUCGUUCAAUCAUACAUUCCAACACAUUCAUACAUAAGCCAACUGUGCUUUGAAAAGGUUCAACAUAUUUUGUGUCAUUCGACACUUGCUACAAUGUGCCUAGACACCUUGCCCUUAUUCGCACCAACCAGGUGAUGAAAUGUACAACCUGUGAUCUCCUUCAUGCUACCAAUCAGGUGAUGAAAUGUACAACCCGUACUCUAAUAUCAUUUGACAACUUGCCACUCAUGCCACCAACCAGGUGAAGAAAAAACUCAUCUUCGUGCCACCAACCAGGUGAUGAAAUGUACAACCCGUACUCUAAUAUCAUUUGGCAACUUGCCACUCAUGCCACUAACCAGGUGAAGAAGGAACUCAUCUUCAUGCCACUAACCAGGUGAUGAAAUGUACAACCCGUACUCUUCUUCAUGCCACCAACCAGGUGAUGAAAUGUACAACCCGUACUCUAAUAUCAUUUGGCAACUUGCCAUUCAUGCCACCAACUUGGUGAUGAAAUGUACAACCCGUACUCUAAUAUCAUUUGGCAACUUGCCACUCAUGUCACUAACCAGGUGAAGAAGGAACUCAUCUUCAUGCCACCAACCAGGUGAUGAAAUGUACAACCCAUACUCUAAUAUCAUUUGGCAACUUGCCAUUCAUGCCACCAACUAGGGGAAGAAGGAACUCAUCCUCGUGCCACCAACCAGGUGAUGAAAUGUGAUGAAAGGUGAUGAAGGAACUCACCUUCGUACCACCAACCGAGUGAUGGAAGCAACUCACAAUUCAUUCCACCUACUAGAAGACAAGUGGUACAACUUGUACAUGUGAACUCCUAGCAUUCACAAAUAAUCAAAAACCCACAAGCUUGACAAAUCAACUAGGGGAGCACUUAUGCCCAACAAGAGUUAUAGUCACCAACAAAGUCUUACUGUAAGCCAACAACAACUUCAGUGCAUAGCAUACGAAGAUCAAGCUAUUCAACCCAAUUGAAUCUGCUUCAAACAUUACCCCUCUGUAACAAUGCAAACACUACAAAUCUCAAAAGCUUCACACACUCUUGAUCAAGAAAGUGUGACGCAAAACCAAUUUAUGGUGCCAACAAGAGCUUCAUCAAAGGAGUUCAACCACAAUUCUCAAAAGCUUCACACACUCUUGAUCAAGACAGUGUGAAGCAAAACCAAUUUAUGGUGCCAACAAGAGCUUCAUCAAUAUAGGGCAACCACAAUUCUCAAAAGCUUCGCACACUCUUGAUCAAGAUAGUGUGAAGCAAAACCAAUUUAUGGUGCCAACAAGAGCUUCAAUUUAUGGUGCCAACAAAAGCUUCAUCAAUGGAGCGCAACCAUAAUUCUCAAAAGCUUCACACACUCUUGAUCAAGACAAUGUGAAGGAAAACCAAUUUAUGGUGCCAACAAGAGCUUUAUCAAAGGAGUUCAACCACAAUUCUCAAAAGUUUCACACACUCUUGAUCAAGAUAGUGUGAAGCAAAACCAAUUUAUGGUGCCAAUUAGUGCUUCAUCAAUAUAGGGCAACCACAAUUCUCAAAAGCUUCACACACUUUUGAUCAAGACAGUGUGAAGCAAAACCAAUUUAUGGUGUCAACAAGAGCUUUGCUUGUACCAUACUUGACCAAUCCCGAAACUACUGAGCACCAGUCAACGUUAUACCGUCAAGGACCCAGAAGAGUUUCCCUCCAACCAGGAGGCUAAUCACAGCGCGACACGUGUCAACAUCAGAAGCCAAUCAUAGCGUGACACGUGUAUACAUCAGAAGCCAAUCACAACACGACAUGUGUUAAUGUGAGAAUGAAACUAGAAACUCUCUUCUAGAAAUAGAGAUCAUUCUCUCACAAUAUUUCGUAAUGUCAUUUGUACUAAAUCGUUCACUAGUACUCACUAAAGAAGAGCUUGAACCUAUGUAUUUGUGUAAACCCUUCACAAUUAAUGAGAACUCCUCUACUCUGUGGACAUAGCCAAUCUGGGUGUAUCACGUACAUCUUGUGUUUGUUUCUCUGUCCCUAUCCAUUUACAUACUUAUCCACACUAAUCACCGGAGCAAUUUAGCGAAGGUCACAAACUUAAUAUUUUUUGUUGUACCAAAGUCCUCAUUGAUUUUGUGCAUCAACAUUUGGCGCCAUCUGUAAGAACGACAUGAAGGGAAAUCUAUGAGUUUCAUGUGGGAUUUCAAGAUGACUAGCAUGCAUAUACAAUUCAAAAUUUAUAUACAUGAGCAACGGAAGCAUGUUAUCAUAUAAUAUCAAAGCUAUAGUCAUGCAAAUCCCCUUCAAGGUUCAUAGGUUUAUAUAUAAUGCAUCAAAACAUUUUAUAGAAUCAAGAACAAAGUGAAGGUUAGUCUUAUACCUCUUGAUCUUGAUUUUAGACCAAGCAUGGACCACCUCCAAGCUCUUUGCUCCUUGAAAUCCUUGAGCCUAGCUUCCUUCCUUGCCUCCUCCACUUUGUUAGAAUGAGUGCUCCUAGGUUCUCUUCAAGUUUCCAAAGUAGGAAACCUCUAAAGAUCCUCACCCACAAGUGUAGUGAGAAGGAUGAUGGAAUAACCAAAAGGGUGAAAGAUUGUUAGCUAAAUCACUCCCUUUGGUGGCCGGCCCUUUGUAGUGUUUUUGAGAGAUAUUCUUUUUUCUUUUUGUUGUUCUAAAACACCCAAAAACUCUUAAGGAAAAUAUCAUUAUAAACUUCCUUAUAUAUAUAUCAAAGAAAACCUAGCCAACAAAUUGACUAAAUAUCUCACCCAUUUCACACCUAUAUGGCCGGCCUCUUUGUUGUUCUUUUGGGCUUUGGGCUUUUAUAAUUUCAAGUCAUCCAAUGCUUGAAUAAAAGCCCAAUGGGUUUAGGCCCAAUGGGCCCAAUCAAACCCUAACGUUUCUUUAAGCCCAAAACGAUCUUUAAUCGCUUUUAUGAUUUCUUUUAGACUUUCUAAAUUAAUCACAACAAUUAAUUAAUCCAAUUAAUUAUUUCCAUCAUCCAUUGGUUACUCACUACAAUAGUGUAUUGGUGAACAAUCUUUUAGGUUCUAAUUAGCAAGGCAGGCAGUGAGGUGAUUGGAACCAAUCCAAUUAAUUCAAUCACUUAUUGAAUUGAAACUUCAUUUCAAUUCACCAUUCUUCUUUGGUGACUACAUUUAAUCAUCUAGAAGAACUCACAAGCUAUGAGUGACAUCUAACCAUAUGUCAUAGCUACCCAAGCUAAUGUAGAAGUUUAUUCGAAGAACCUAUUCAGUUGGAAUUACAAUGUAAUUCGAUCCUUCUCUAAUACAAUACUCUCAAUCACAUCAUUAGGGUAUGGAUAUUAUGUCAAACCCCUAAUGUGAUUAUUCCUUUCAUAUAUGAUUCGUUUGAGUCGUAUAGGAACGCUUUCCUUUUAAUACGCUCGAUACUUCGGCCGAAGAUUCCCGAAUCAUAUCUUAGAGUAUUCUUCCUCUCUUAUCGAGGAUUAGAGAUUCCUUGUUGCGCAUACACUUGCCUUCAUGACUAAGUGGCUUAACCCCAAUCAUGCCGUGGAGGACACCCUCGAAUGGGGAGACUUUGACAUAAUCAAAGAUUAAGUACUUAACCACAAGACAACGACGAUGCCUCAGGUCUAAGGAUUACUUACAUUAUUCCAACCAUUAGAGUUACUUGCUUGACAUGCGAGUAGACCUCCAUGCAAGUACUCUCGUUCGAUUGUGUUCAGUGAACUCAUUCCCCUAAUGAGCACCUACAUACUUGUCUUAGUGUCACAAACACGAAUGGAUGAGGCUGAGGCUUUCCAUCCUUCCAUUUGAAGCAGACAUAGUAUGUAUGUACUGGUCUAAGCAUUGUCAGUAUCCCUCCGACAAUCCAAUGACCAGGAACCUUUUGGACAUCUGGUUAUGUGAAGAAGGUCUCUGUAGUCUAACAUCAUUAGAUUACUUCUUCAAUCGAUCCAUUGUCCAUGGAUACACUAUUAAGGACAUAUUUCGUCUAUUAAGAUAGUCCUAAUUCGUGUCUUUGCCUUUGAUGUAUAAGAUUCAUCCAUACAUUUCAUUUAUUUGUCCUGAAAGAUUUCUUUCCAAAAGAUUGACUUUCAGGGCAUAUUUCCAACAAUCUCCCACUUGCACUAAAGUCAAUCACUAGUGUUUCUUAUACAUCUUGUCGAGAGAGUUUAUGCUCGUAGGUUAACUUGGUUAUGUAUUAAUCCCUUUUCAUUUAAAAGGGAUUUACUUAUCAAAUGUUUCCAAAACAUUUGAUGAUGUCUCUUUAUUGUGUUCGAAUACUUUGAUGAGACCUUGAUUCCAUGGCUUGAGCUAUCGCCCCAUUACGUCGUAGUACCCUACUAACGACCUUAUGGUUUGGAUUCAAUCAUUGGUUCUAAAAGAAACCCCUUCCAUUCAAAAACACCUUUUGAAGCAGUUUCUAAAACUAUAUAUCGACAUAUAUUUCGUUUGUAUACUUUAUACAAAUUUUGCUCCAACCUUGAGACCAUUGUAGUACAAUACUAACAAUUCAUUUAUAUGAUUAGUACUUCAUCCAUUAUGAAGUUCCAUUUGUUAAAAUGGCUUAUUUUUCACUUUGAUUAACAACCUAAGUGAAUGCACGCUUCCAGAGUCCUACUCUGAUGUUUCUUUCUCAAAGGCAAUAAUACUCUAUCAGUUGCUUUGGUUCUGAUCCUGGGACAUAGUAAUAUCUUAAAGUGACAACCCAUGUGGUUCUUCACCUUUGGAUAUCUACUUCACAAGUCCAUACAUGUGUCCCUUUUGUGAUUUUAUGACACAUUCAUUAUAAGGGUUAUGAAAGUGAUUUCCUAUCACAUAGGAAAAUACUUUCUUAAAUCUACAACAUUUGAGAUUUAUUUCCCAUAUAACAUUAUUGAGACAGCCUUGCUAUAUCAAUAAGUCCAAUUUCAAGUCUAUACUUCAAAAUUGACCGUGUCAUGUAUUGUCAUUUUUCGAGUAACAUCUAUGUUUUAUUAAGUCUAUCAAAUGGACUUUAUUCACAUCUUGUUGCUCAAAUUAUGACAUCACUCCCACUGGCCUUGUUGUAACAUAGCAUUCAUUCAAAGAAUAACAAUUAUAUUUUCUUGAUUUGAAUGCAUAUUGCUCCCACUAACUUAAAUGAAUCAUACACAAAAGAAUUCCUUCUCAAGUAAUUCCAUGAAAUGUGUAUGACUUGCUUUAUCAAGUCAAUCCAUUUAAAUUAUAUGGUGUCAUACACCAUACUUCAAGUUUUAGUCAUACUAAGACCUUUAAUGUAGUCAUAUAAGAAUUAUCUAAGUCUUUAGUGAAGCAUGGCUCCUACUAAGGAUAAAAACUUAACCAUUCCUCCUAGGUGGUUGAUAUAAUUCUUUAUCAGAACUACAUAGAGCAAUAUCGUUACAUGAGAUGUUGAAUUUGGUUUGUCUUAUUGUUAAACCACAUGUUGUGACUCAUUUUGAAAUUUAUUCCCUUUUGUUUCAUCAACUUGUCCAUAUGCUUUCUUUAUUAGCUUGUUCUCAUAAAAGAGAAUGAUGGACAACUCCCAACAUAUAACUAUUUUAUGCUAGGUUGACGAAACCAACAUUCAAAGACUAUUCUUUAAAUGUCACACAACAUAGAAUUUUAACGUUUGAAGAGCUUGAGUCCUUUUAACAAUUAAAAUCACAAACUCUUAAUAAUAGUCAAGUACUAUUAUUCUUUAGACAACUAUAAACCAAUCCCAUUCAAGUUUAUAUCCAUUUUCACACCUCCCACUAUUUCUCAUGACUUUAAUGAGAAAUCACUUCAUACAUUCAAAAUGUAUAAAAUUGGAGUAUAUUGGAAGAAGACAUUGUGUAGUAGCUUUAGAACAUUUCAAGCUUAUUUGUUUCAAUCUUCACUAAGUCAAUGUCUUGUUAUUUAAGUGACUAAAGUCUUUAAACAAUUUAUAGAUUUAGACACUUCUUUCUUGGUUUAGUCACUAACACAAUUGACAUUUUAAAACAAUUUUAAGAAUGCCCAAUUAAUUGUUCAAAACUACUAAUUGAAUGAGAUCUUGAAUUGUGUUUCAAGUGAUAACCAUAUAUCAUUGUGUUUCAAGAUAACAUUUUUUCUUAUUACUUAUAUCAUAUAAUGUGAUCUUCCUUUUCUUCAAGAAAAGGAUUCUCUAGACUUUUGUCAAUUCAUAUUAGAACUCAUAAGUAGACAAAUGGAACCGAAUCUAAAGAUUCAUUGUAUCCUUUUAUGUCCUACAUGUGAGAUCUAUCCAUAAUUGAUAAAUCUUAAAGUUUGGUUUAUCACAUUACAAUUAAGUGAUAUAACUCUUGUAUCUCAUCUAGGAUACAACAAGACAAUUUUCAAUUCAUAACACUACUUUAAGGAAAUAAAAAGGCAUACUUCACAUUACAUUAAUAUGAUAGUUCAAACAUUCAUAAUGUUUAAUACAAAAAGUAUUAGCUCUAUACAUUUUAGAGACUAAUAUAAAUACCUUUAUACAUUUAGACAUUAAUAGUGGUCAUCCAUCAUAUGAAGCCACAUAAUAAGUUCUUAUCAAAAUAAGAAAGUUUAAAGACAAUCUUUAAUGCCUAACAAACUUCCUAAGUAGUGAGCAAAAACAUAGUGGCCGAACACUUCACCACUUUUUCCUUUGCUUGUUCUUCUUCUACUUGGCUUCUCCACCUAUAUACAAUUAUACAAGUGAUUAGCCCUUUAUAUCAAAUAUAAAUAUUUAGAAGAUCUAACAUUUAGAAUUGAAGAUAAGGACUUAAACCAUACCUUGUGGCUUGUCCUUAAGACUUGCAAGGUAUAACCUGCAAUUCCUCCUCCAAUGCCCCUCCUUUCCACAGUGGUGGCAAGUCCCCUUGGGCUCUUUUGCCUUCUUUUUCCUCACUCCUCCUUUCGGCUUAGGAGUGGGUGACUUCUUCUCCUUCCCUUUGCCUUUGCCUUGCGGCAUGGCCUUGGAAGAGGAUGGCUUGUUGUAGGCUACUGCAACAGUCCCUACACCGCUCUCUUUCUUCAUAGUCUUCUCAGCAGCUACUAACAUGUUUAGUAACUCAGAGAGAGUACUAUCCAUCUUAUUCAUAUUGUAGUUCAUUACGAACUGCGCAAAUGAAUCAGAAAGAGAAGCCAAUAUGAAGUCCUGGGCCAAUUCCCCGUCAAGUGGAGUACCAAGGUUCUCCAAUUGUUCAAUGAAUCCUAUCAUCUUCAGUACAUGUUGGUGUACUGGAGCCCCCUUUACCAUCUUGGUCUUUACAAGUUCACAAACAGUGCUAAAGCGACGGUUGCGCGUCCCUUCGCCAUAUAACUCCGUAAGAUGGAGUAUUAUGGAAAAUGCACUAUCCAUGCCCUCGUGCUGUCUCUGUAGCUCCUCAUUCAUGGAAGCCAACAGAUAGCAUUUGGCUUGUAUAUCAUCCUCAACGUGCUUGUCAUACUUAGCACAUUCAUCCUCAGUAGCCUCAGGGCUAAGAGGUAUGUGAGGUGGAGGCUUAUCUAGUACGUAAACAAUCUUCUCCAAUGUUAGGAGAAUCUUGACAUUACGAUACCAUGAUGGGAAAUUGUGCCCCUUUAGGCAAUGUUUGUCGAGUAUUUUCGCGAGUGUGCUUCCAACCAUAUCUAUAUACAUAAACAAAUAAAAUAAUUAGAUUGAUUGUUGUUUAAGUCAAACGAUUCGGGUCUUUAAACCGAAUGACACCACCCACCAUUUUUGGCAAAUUCCAUAUCCCCCAUAAUGGAAUCCGGGAGAUUUCAAAGAAAGCUCCUAGCGGGUUAUGGGAGACUCACUAUUACCAAGCCCACCUCAGAAGAACUCCAUAUUGGCUAGCAACAAUAAUAAUGAGAGAGUACGCUUACUCAUUUGCAACUAAUGCAAGUACCCAUCUCGUUUGGCCUCUAGAGAAUGAUGCCUCAGAAGAACUCCAUAUUGGCACCAUUGCACUUAGUUAAGUUCUUUCCCACCAUGCUAGUUCAAAGUAGGGGUUCAAGAAUGGCCUCAGAAAGAACUCCAUAUUGGCCACACUAGUUGCCUACCUUUCACUUCAUCAUAUGUGUAUAGGCUUCUCCUGAAUGUAAGCACAUACUUUGCAACCCCAGAACUGGACGAAUACGGUGUAUGAGUCACAAACGAUUGAAGCCUACCACGGUGGAAGGCCACGAAAAAGUGUUCAAAGCACUCUUACGUUUUCAACUUAAUAUUGAGUGAUUGAGGGAUUUUAAGGUCUCAUCAAUUUUAUUUAUUUAAUCACAAUCAAUAAAUAAUGUCCUAUUUACAACUACUAGUCCAAAGUUAAUGAAAUUAGUAGCAUAUGAUAUCCCCACUAUUCGUUUUUCAUAAAAACAAAUCAAUAUCAAAACAUUUUUCAAAAUAUUGGAGAUAUAAUAUAACUACUAAUUGUAUUCAUUAUAGUUUUUAGUAGCGUAUGAUACUCCCACUAUUUGUUUUGAGAAAAACAAAUCAAUAUCAAAAACGAAUUUUUCAAAUAUUGGAAGUAACUACUACUACUAACGUUUUUGCAUUCCUUUGAAAUUGGACUUUAUAGUUAUCUUAGGCUCUUGGAUGACCAUGGACUUAUAAGGUUAUUGCAACAACGAGCCAUCAUUGUUGAAUAUAAACUCGGGGAGGUUUGUGUCAAUUUAAUUACGUGCUUAUCAAUCCAAUUAAAAACCAUUUUCAUUGAGCCAUUAGAAAUGAAAGACAAUCAUUCAUUGCUAAUUGGGGCAUUGGACCCUUUUAAUCUUUUAAUCUCAUGUCAAAACCCUCUUUUAGUUAUGUCUCCUUACCAAUGGUUAAAGAAACUCUAGUCUAGCACUAGAGUGAAUCAACUAACGAAUAGAGAUUAAGAAGUAAUAAGAAUUACAAACCGAUUUGUACAAAUUCCUAUAAAUUACAUAUACUAAAAGGGGAGAGAUAGAUUAACGUCAAACAUGACAAGGUCCAAUUAAACAGUAAUUAAAACACAUUCCCAAGGUUCAAACAAUUUGAUUUUAGCGCCUUAUCUCAUAGCUCAAUUAUCGUUUAAGGCAUAAGUCCAAAGUCAUCCAUUUUACAAUUACUUAAACACAUUUAAAUAAUCAUAAUGGAAUGCAACAUAAACAUUUAGAUUUAGUGCAUAUGGGCAUAAUAUAAUUAUGAGUUUAAACAACUAACAAAAUUAAAAUCAAAUAUUUUAACUUUCUAGUUAGUAGGGGCCUUUAUGCAAAUAUGAAAAAGUUAGGGGUCAAACCGUAAAUAUUCAAAGUAUAAAAUAUCUUUUCCAAAUUACAAAAUACCCCACAAGUGGGUAUACAACUAGGGGAGGCCGGCCAUGAAUUGGGGAGAAGAUAGAAAGUCUCACUUAUCUUCCCUUAAAUCAUGUAAAGUAGAAUAAAAUCAUAAUUUUGCUUGUCACUUGGUUUUGGUUUAAAUGAUUUUAUUUCAAAAGGUGAUGGAAAUCUCUUAGAUAAGCUUAUGGUUUUAUAAGUUUUAAAAUGAUUAUGGAUGGUAAGAACAACAUCCAAAACCAUAAAACUAUGCAUGAAAACCAAAUAAAAACACUUUCACCUAAAACCAAACCAUGAACACCAAGAACAAAACCAUGAACAUAUUUUCAAGAUUUGUGUAUUCUUGGUGAAUUUUCAAACCCAAAAACAAAAGUGACAAGGUUUCUACUUUCUAGCUUUGAAAUGAUGUGUGAGUGUCUUACAAUAAAACACAAACAUAUGCUCAAACCUUCCCCAAAAACGUGCCAACCACAAAGAACAAAACCCCAAAAUUUGUUCAUGACUUAUUCUUCAUUUCAUGCAUACAAAACAACUUUUACAUGCAUAUCUUUUUCAACUCUUGAUUUACAUUUUUCAACCAUUGAAAAACAAAAGAUAAACAUACUUUUAAAUGAAGAAAUCAUUUGUCAAAACUCAUCUUUCAUUCAUGCAUACAAAACAACUUUUGCAUACAUAUCUUUCUCAACUUUUGAUUAACAUUUUUCAACUUUUGAAAAACAAAAGAUAAACAUACUUUGAAUGAAACAAUAAUAUGUCAUACAUAACAUUAAUACCCAUAUACAUAAAAUCCAAAAGGACACAUUAUACAUAAACCUUUGGCUCUGAUACCAAUUGAAGGGAAAUCUAUGAGUUUCAUGUGGGAUUCAAGAUGACUAGCAUGCAUAUACAAUUUCAAAAUUUAUAUACAUGAGCAACGGAAGCAUGUUAUCAUAUAAAUAUCAAAGCUAUAGUCAUGCAAAUCCCCUCCAAGGUUCAUAGGUUUAUAUAUA